rnacentral:rRNA from 1 species
ACGGCAGCACGGGAGCAAUCCUGGUGGCGAGUGGCGAACGGGUGAGUAAUGUAUCGGAACGUACCUUUCAGUGGGGGAUAACGUAGCGAAAGUUACGCUAAUACCGCAUAUUCUAUGAGCAGGAAAGCAGGGGAUCGCAAGACCUUGCGCUGAUUGAGCGGCCGAUAUCAGAUUAGCUAGUUGGUGAGGUAAAGGCUCACCAAGGCGACGAUCUGUAGCGGGUCUGAGAGGAUGAUCCGCCACACUGGAACUGAGACACGGUCCAGACUCCUACGGGAGGCAGCAGUGGGGAAUUUUGGACAAUGGGGGCAACCCUGAUCCAGCCAUGCCGCGUGAGUGAAGAAGGCCUUCGGGUUGUAAAGCUCUUUCAGCCGGGAAGAAAUCACAUGGGUUAAUACCCUGUGUGGAUGACGGUACCGGAAUAAGAAGCACCGGCUAACUACGUGCCAGCAGCCGCGGUAAUACGUAGGGUGCGAGCGUUAAUCGGAAUUACUGGGCGUAAAGCGUGCGCAGGCGGUUUGUUAAGAUAGGCGUGAAAUCCCCGGGCUCAACCUGGGAACUGCGUUUAUGACUGGCAGGCUAGAGUAUGGCAGAGGGGGGUGGAAUUCCACGUGUAGCAGUGAAAUGCGUAGAGAUGUGGAGGAACACCGAUGGCGAAGGCAGCCCCCUGGGCCAAUACUGACGCUCAUGCACGAAAGCGUGGGUAGCAAACAGGAUUAGAUACCCUGGUAGUCCACGCCCUAAACGAUGUCAACUAGGUGUUGGGUGGGUAAAACCAUUUAGUACCGGAGCUAACGCGUGAAG